GCACUGCUGACGAGUCCCACACAGGACGAAACAGCUCUGUCCAGUGA
rnacentral:hammerhead_ribozyme from 1 species